rnacentral:snRNA from 1 species
AUGUGUGUGCAAUGCAAUGCUACACAAAUAGUGCACUAUUUGGAGCCAGAUUUUAAUAACUUCCUCCCUCACCACUCCAUGAGUGUCCCUCCCGAAGCUCCGUGCUUGGUGGAAGAGAACAGAAUCCCUAGAGACAAGCAUCACUGGUAUAGAAGCUGUGCACGAGCCUGCUACAACCUCCAAACAAGCUCAAGGCCCAUUUGUAGGGAAACGUAGGGAAGUCGAGCUCCAAGACUUCAGACACAUCCAAAUGAGGCACUGCACGUGGCAGUCUGCCGUUCUUG